rnacentral:rRNA from 1 species
UACGGAGGGUGCAAGCGUUGUCCGGAAUCACUGGGCGUAAAGGGCGCGUAGGCGGCUCAUGAAGGCUGUGGUGAAAGUCCGGGGCUCAACCUCGGAUCGGCCGUGGCGACUCGUGGGCUGGAGCACUGUAGAGGCGGGUGGAAUUCCGGGUGUAGCGGUGGAAUGCGUAGAGAUCCGGAAGAACACCAGUGGCGAAGGCGGCCCGCUGGGCAGUGGCUGACGCUGAGGCGCGACAGCGUGGGGAGCGAACAGG